rnacentral:rRNA from 1 species
CCUACGGGAGGCAGCAGUGAGGAAUAUUGGUCAAUGGACGCAAGUCUGAACCAGCCAUGCCGCGUGCAGGAUGACGGCUCUCUGAGUUGUAAACUUCUUUUGUACGGGGGUAAAACGUGACACGUGUAGCGGUUUGAACGUAUCGUAUGAAUAAGGAUCGGCUAACUCCGUGCCAUCAGCCGCGGUAAUACGGAGGAUCCGAGCGUUAUCCGGAUUUUUUGGGUUUAAAGGGAGCGUAGGUGGAUUGUUAAGUCAGAUGUGAAAGGUUGCGGCUCAACCCCUAAAUUGCAGUUGAUACUGGGAGUCGAGAGUACAGUAGAGGUAGGCGGAAUGCGUGGUGUAGCGGUGAAAUGCUUAGAUAUCACGAAGAACACCGAUUGCGAAGGCAGUUGACUGGACUGUAACUGACGCUGAGGCACGAAAGCGUGGGUAGCAAACAGGAUUAGAUACCCGGGUAGUC